GCCAAGUGCGGAGAGGAUAACUGCUGAAAGCAUCUAAGUAGGAAGCCCACCCCAAGAUGAGUGCUCUCUCGAGGUCACGGCAAGAGAAGCCGUUUGAUAGGUGUCAAGUGUAAGACCAGUAAUGGUUUCAGCUGAGACAUACUAACAGACCGAUUGGCUUUGAUCUGUUU
rnacentral:rRNA from 1 species